rnacentral:rRNA from 1 species
ACGGAGGAUGCGAGCGUUAUCCGGAUUUAUUGGGUUUAAAGGGUGCGUAGGCGGAUUAAUAAGUCAGUGGUGAAAGUCUGCAGCUUAACUGUGGCACUGCCGUUGAUACUGUUAGUCUUGAGUAUGGUCAAGGUAGGCGGAAUGUGUAAUGUAGCGGUGAAAUGCUUAGAUAUUACACAGAACACCGAUUGCGAAGGCAGCUUACUGGGCCGUUACUGACGCUGAUGCACGAAAGCGUGGGGAUCGAACAG